UUAACUCAAAUUUGAAUCGAAUUGGAAUGUUUUCCUACGUUUGCCGCUAGGGGCGCUGUUCCAACUGCAUACAAAUUUGAGUUA
rfam:Bombyx mori DNA, contig: Bm_scaf55_contig27642, strain: p50T/Dazao, build 2, whole genome shotgun sequence.